ensembl:lncRNA
CUCUGACAGAUUGUUUGAGUCUGGUAAUGGAAAUUUCCUUGGACAAGUACAAUUAAUGGCUCAGUUUGAUCCAGUGAUGCGUGAGUAUUUGAGGAGAAUUCAGACAAAAGAGCUAAGUGAAUUGUUAAUUGUGAGUUAUCAAAGGGUGUCUCCAUCCAUGAACACGUUGCUGGAUUUCUUCAGGCACUUGACACAACAGGAAGAGGCUUAUGCGAGACAUUUUUAGGCCACCUAGAAACACUAGGAUUGGAUCUGUACAGCUGUCGAGGCCAAUCUUAUGAUAAUGGGAGCAGCAUGCAAGGUAAAAAGCAGGGAGUCUAAAAGAGAGUGCUGGAAUUAAACCCCAAAGCUUUAUGUAUUCCUUGUGGAAGUCACACAUUGAAUCUUGUUGUUGGUGAUGCAGUCUUCUGUGAUGUCCAUCAGUUUCUCUGGGCCGUUACAGCGGCUUUACAUUAUAUUAUUUUAUUUUUGUGUGUCCAUAGUUGAUAAUUUAUUCAUAUGGCUUGUGUGUUUUUUCUCACUUUAGUAACAAAAGAUAGAAGACCAUAAACAACUUUUCCAGUUUAGGCAGCAGCGAGCAGAUCCAGUUAGGAGAUUCUAUCAGAGAACCUGCUGGGAAACCAAGUCAGUGUGUGACAUCAUUUUUGCACCAGACAUAAGAAAGAGCUGCUUGAGUCAACUCAGAGGUCUCAUUACAGACUUUGGGCCUUUGCCAGAACAUGCUAAUUUGACCUGCCCCCAAGCAGGCCAAUUUUCAGGUUUUUUCUUUCCUCCGAUUUUAAUGGCUACUCUAGAUUGAAGAGACCCUGCUCUCAAAUGUCCCAAAAACUCUAAACUGAGAACAAUUCUAAUACUCUAAUAAGUCUUUUUGAAAAUCUCAGUGUCAGAACCAUGUAAGUGAGUAGACCUUAAAUUAUUUAAAUAUUAAAAAAUUAAAUGGAAUUCUGGCAUUAUCCCCUGAAAAAGAAGGUAACUAUACAUUUUAAUUGUAUUUUCAGGUAUCCAUCCCAUCAACAGAAUGCUGAAUCAUUGUCUGCUUUGAUAAAAGCAUUUCCCUGCCUAAAAGAAAACUUUGGAUCGGGUUAUGAUGAACUGGGUGAUGUAGAAAAUGAGAUGAAAAUCAUGGAGCAUGUUACUACUAUGGUCGAGGAAGCACAGAAGUCCAGGCCUGACAUGGAGCUGCUGGAAGAAAUGAUGCAUAGAACUAGAGCCUACAGGAGGACAUGCAUAACAUUUUCACUCUACAAGAGACAUCAUCAAAGAAUUUCCAUGUCUGAAAAUUCAGAGACUGGUGUUUUUUUGUUUUUUUUACAGUUAUGCCAACCUGGAUCUUAUGCUUUUAAAGGUAACUUGCUAUUGCUAGCCUCUCCAGUUUUGCCUACCCUUGCUGUUUAUUUGCUGUUGAUUUACUCAACCUGUGUCCAUCCAAGAUGUAGGUGACCUUUUUUUUCUCCAGUAGCACAGUAAAGAAGAUUUUUAGCUGAAACCAUUGGUCUUUGGUGAAUCAUAUAAUGAAAGUCAAUGGGUGCCGCCCUUUUGAGAUUCAAAAAACAUAUGCAGACAAAACAUGAGCCGUGGGUUCGUUGUCUUUCUUUUUUUUUUUUUUUAAUUCUUAAGAGUCUUAAGAAUGAAAAGAUCGUGUUAUGUAAGAAACUGAACAUUAUUUACAACAUUUUUAUGUCUAAUAGACAGCCUUGGCAAACCAUCCUGAGCGCAUCCAAGACAGUCUGGAGCAUGAGCUUGCCGUUGCAUAAUGACGUAUAAGCGGGAGCAAACUGACGGGAGCUGAUGCUGUGUUUGUUUACAACAGGGAAGGAAGAUGCGCAUGUUGUAUUGUUCUUUAAAAUCAUACUUGUGCUUACCCUGGAUGCCGCAACAUAUAUUUAGGAAGGUUCACACUUCACAAUUGUUCACUUCACAUAUUACACAGACACACUGACAUAGAUAUAGACAUACAAGUGAUGAUGAUUUUCAUCUUUAUUAUAUAUGACAUGACAUUGUCAUGCUUGUUCAGUCAGUUGAUUUUAAUUAAUGUAUAAAUGUUUAUUGAACAGCAAAUAAUAUUAGAAUGAUUUCUGAAGGAUCAUGUGACACUGAAGAGUAAUGAUGCUGAAAAUGUAGCUUUGAUCACAGGAAUAAAUUACAUUUUAAAAUAUAUUCA